rnacentral:rRNA from 1 species
CCCUGCCAUUUGUACACACCGCCCGUCGCUACUACCGAUUGAAUGGUUUAGUGAGUUCCACGGAUUGGUGGCUCCGGUUGGGCAACCUUCCGGAGUUGCCGAGAAGUGGAUCAAACUUGAUCAUUUAGAGGAAG